AGUCAAGGCCCCCGUGUAUCCGGUCUGGCACAACCCCGGCAAUAUGCAAAGCCUCCUCUAAUGAUGGCUGAAUCCAGGAGACCUCAACCCCUGUGAUGGAAACCUCACCCCCUCUGGAGGCAGCCGACGACUCCCGGGGCAGGCCCACCCGGCUCAGAUGCAACCUGCUCCACAGAGCCAGCCCCAUCCCCAGGCUUGGAGCCAAACAGGAUUGCUCCUUCACAAGAAACAAAAUCAGAGCUACAGUCAGCCGUCUUAAAAACUCCCUGCUUUCUCGCCUUGCCCAGUCAAGCAGCCUCAGUUCCCCUUGCUCCCUGUACCUAGCUGGGCUCCAAGCCACUCUCAACCACAUACUUUUAAACUCCUUUGUCUCAGACUAUGAACGGCGUGGAAACCGAUCGAGGACUGGGGGUGGCAGCUUGUGUGUGUGACUGCUUGGGCUCUGGGGGGUCCUUCUACGGUCAGCGCCCUGCCCCCGCCACCCAUCCCUCACCUCCAUUCUCCUGUAAUGGCCCCAAACGUCUGUAAUGCAGCCCUCAACUUUUCAUCUGCCAGUGAGACUCAGAGAGCAAAUAGACCAAGGAAAAACAAACUAUGGAUCAAACUCAUACUAAAGUACAAAUGACUUUCUUCUCCCAAAUAAUUUUGAUAGUGAACAGGAUAAUCAGCAUCAGGCCCACAGACGGCGAGGGAUGGAAGGAGUGGAGGAAGAGAAGAACUUCCCAUGGCAAGGGGAAAGGGAAGAAGGAGGAGGCUUGGAGGAAAGGGGACAAGGAAAACCUUUAUUUCCUGCUCAUCUGGCCUGGACUGAGCCAGCUGUUCCCUACCUGCUGCCCUAAACAGGGAGGCCAGCAUAGCCAGAGAGGCGGCCACCGUGUGUCUGAUCCCAGGGGCAAUUUUAAAGUUUGCCUCAGUCCAGGGCGCCCAGCUGAAAAAUCAGGGCAAAAACAGGACUAAGAACAAAGGAGGAAAAGGUUAAGAGCAAGGGGCCACACAGGGACUGAGAAAUGAUUUCUCAGCUAAGCGUCUGGCCUUUGGAGAUGCCUCCCUGCCCAUCUGUGUUGCUGGGGUCAGAGAACCCCCUCUGGGAGGGUGAGGGGGAGUGAAGAAGAGACCUGGGGCUCUUCCCGGAGAAUGUGCGCAGGAGCCAGGGGCUGGCUGCGAGGCCACUGGCUUCCAGAUGUCCCAGCCUCCAUCAGACCGGACCUACCCCUGCAGCCCAGGGCUGCAACCCCAUCAGUGUGAUAUAGGGAGUCUGAGGGGAGCAGGACAAACUCUGCCUGAUGUUCUAUGAGCUUCCUUCCCUCCAUCAGCCAUCAAUCCCCCAGUGCAGCGAGAGGGUCCUCUCAGCUGUGCCCAGCCACAGAAACAGCCUCUGUGCCUUGAGGAAAAAUGAUGUUGGCAGGCUGCACCCCAUUCACACUCAUGAAUCCACUCCAGAAGUCUGAAGACUUUUUCCCCAGGAUAUCUAGCACAAUGUUUAAAAGUAUGGCCCAGAUCCUAUCAGAAUAAUCCCAGCCCAUCAUAGCAAAAUUGGUGAAAACAAAAAAAAGGGAAAAAUGACAAAACAGCCAGAGAAAAAAGACGUCUACUUUCAAAAGAUUAAUAAUAAGGUGAAUGGCUGACUUUUCAACAGAAGCAAUAGAAACCAAAGACAAUAGAGUGACAUAUUGAAAUUGCUGAAAGAAAAUUACUGCCAAUCUAGGGUUCUAUAUCUAGAGAAAAUAUCUUUCAAAAAUGAAAAUGAAAUAAAUAUGUUUUUGGAUGAA